GCUUAUGUCUGAGCGGCUUUAUAGGUGUGUAAUGAGCAACUAUAAAUCUGAACUGUCUCAUAGUCAAGACUCUUAUAAGGAAAGAAGGAAUGUUGUGUUAAGAAAAUCCAUCGGCUGCUGAAGAUGACUGGAUAUAUUCGGUACAUACGCCAUUUCCAGCGGAUUACCAACAAAACCGUUGAUUUGCAAUGCCGGUCGCACUACCCACAAAACCACAAUGGGACAUUGAAAAUGCGCCGCCAAGCCCAUCUGGAAGUCGUUCAUGACAUAAGCGAAGAGCAAUAGAUCAAAUGCGUUCGCACGAUUUUCAUUUAAAAACUCACGCAUUUUCGGCUGCCACAACGUCUCAUUUGCCAUACGCAGAUAUUCUGCGGUUGUGACAAAUAAGCUCUUUACAAACGAGUGCCGAGUAUUAAUCAGACUGUUUAGCGCUUUGUCAUCUAUAAUACCGCCAUCCGGCAGCUGCAGGUGUAUAUAUUUGUACGCGGCAUUCGGAUAAACAUUUUCGAUAAUACCAAUCACGGUGACAUCGUGUCCGACGCGCGCCAACUGUUCCGCGACGGUGCAAUGGAGCAGCAUAUGGGAUUUGGAAUAGGUGGCGAAGAGCCCGAGUAUGCGCGAACCGGCUGCUAUGGAACAGGUUUAUGCCACCAUUAACUGUUGGCUCGGCCAAACAACGUUCGCCAGACUCCAUUAGAAGUUGGAUAACGUUGCCGUCUGGACACAUUUGCCUUCGUCAUCGCCAGUGCUUUGCCUUUGCUGUUGCGUUGACGCGGCGCGGCGCCGGGGAGAAAACCAUUUAAUGCACUUCAUUUGGCACGGAGACGCGUCGAGCGGCAGUUGGCGCUGCGAUAAUGCACAUGGGCGGAACUGGAAGCUGGAAGCGAGCAGAAGCAUGCUAAUACGAACAGAAAGUCUGCUGGAGAAAUAUGUGGCUACAAACAACAUCUAUGAAUAUGUGAGUAUAUAGAGACAUUUAGAAAUGUCAACAGCAGCACGUUAAUUGUGAAGAUGAAGAAAUUCAAAAAAAUGCAAUUUUUGAUUUUGAACAUGAUUUUAAUACAUAUACGCCAUAAAAAACUCAAAUAAAAAUAACUUUAGUUAAAAAAAUUUAAUUGAAACAAAAAACUUAAAAUUUAUUAUUAAGAAAAUAAUUAUCAAA